CUUUGGGGGGGUGGUUUUUUACCCGUGCAUGGAAGGAGCACACAGUGCUCUUCCUUGUCCUGGGAUAAUGCGCCCAUUUUUGUUUGGCUUGCCUCCUUGCUGCUUAUGCUCCUAAAGAGCACAUUACUUGCAAUGUGCUGCCCACCCUGUUCUAAGCAAUGAGGCAGCAUCAUAAUAUGUGAGACAUUUUUUAAAACUGUUGUUGCCCCUGGAUACAGUUACUGUUGUUUCAUUAUUUUUUUUUCUACUGAAGUUUCAAUUGAGAUGAAAACUUUUUCAUUGGGAUCUAAUGAAGAGAGACCUUGACAACAGAGCCAGAGAGAUGGUGAAAUCAUGGGAGCAAGAAGUGGGGACACUAAAGAGAAAAAGUCAAAACAUAACAGCAUCUCUAAAGAUUGCCACCCAACCAAAGCUCCUAUGGCAAAAGCUGAUGUGUGCAUGGAGUUUUGACAAGGAUGAGGAAAACGUGAAGCUGUAAAUCAAUAGGUGUUCAAGUAGCCCACAAAAUUUAGAAGAUCGCUUAUGAAUAUAUUGAACAGCACAGAUCCAUGGGGGACACCGCUAUUCAUUGGAACGAUUUUCUGAAUGUAAAUGGCGAAACUUAACUACAUGAAGAAAGUAAGAUACAGAGCAAAAGGGAUAAACAUAGUGAUGUGAUUUUUACAUAAGAAUGGUCAGAGAAACAGAAUUACAUAAAGAAUAUUUUUUUUAAAAAAACCUAAAACUGAUUCGACUAAUUCUUCUUGGCAUUUUCUUCCAAGUUCUAAACUAAUUUAGUGCAGGAAAAUACAGUACAGUUAGCAUUCAACUUUAAUUGCAAUGAGGUGACAACAUACUGAGUAACUCAUUAUGAGUUGUAGAUGUGUUUACAAUGAGUUGACAAUGUGUUGGAUAAAGUGUUCUUCUAAAGUUGUAGAUCUAUUUACAGUGAGCAGUGGGGGAAUGUUCAUUAGUUGUCGAUUUGUUUGUUUACAUUGUUUUCGAUUUGCAAUUGCGAUAAAACAAAUUGCAGACUGAUAAAGGAUGACUGUUUGUGUGCUUUAAUGAUUUACUGUAGUAGCUUGUCUGAAAAGUACUUAACUCUCCUUCAUCUGUCAGUUUCCAUUGCAAAAGCUUCCAGUCAUAAUAGUUUUAUUAGCACAGCAUGGGCCAUUUCUAAGAACAUUAUGCAUCUAAAAAAUCUUGGUGCUUUCCUGUUCAGUCUGUUGUAUUUUGGCGGGGUGUGCUGAACAGAAUUCUUUCUGCUUAGUACAAGCUUAUACCUUUUAAGGUUGCAACUUGAGCAGAAAUUAAUGAGCUCCAAGAUGUAUAGAUCUAAAGCUGGACACAGUCUUUUUCUGAAAAUUCUUUUCUAAUUGCCGCCAGUCAAUGAUGUCAGGUGUUUAAAAUCCUAUUGCUGUCUGCUACUACUACCUAAUCCAAAAGGACUAUUUAAAAAUUACCAUCAGGUUAUGCUGGGUUAUA